CAUUCUGGUCUCCCUAGAAGUCCUUCCGCUGCCGCCACCAGUACCUGCCGCCGCUCCCACUAGCGAUCCUUUACCGGACGCACUGCCGGCGCCACUGCCGGCGCCACCAGCGCCCCUUCCGGCACUGCCAGCGGCCCCUGCCGCCGCUACACCCAUUAUGCCGUCACCUGCAUCCUCUCAGGGUGGUCAUCAUAUGCAGACAUGCAGCAAAAAUAAUAUCUUUAUGCCCAACAAGAAGUUUGGUAUGUCUGUUGUCACCUCUCCUGCUGUUACUGAACCUCAG
rnacentral:lncRNA from 1 species